rnacentral:rRNA from 1 species
AACGUAGGGGGCAAGCGUUGUCCGGAAUUACUGGGCGUAAAGGGCGCGUAGGUGGUUGUUUAAGUCAGUAGUGAAAUACCAGGGCUUAACCUUGGGGUGGCUAAUGAAACUGAACGACUUGAGUGCAGGAGAGGGGAGUGGAAUUCCCAGUGUAGCGGUGAAAUGCGUAGAUAUUGGGAGGAACACCAGUGGCGAAGGCGGCUCUCUGGCCUGUAACUGACACUGAGGCGCGAAAGCGUGGGGAG